ACUCAAAGGAAUUGACGGGGGCCCGCACAAGCGGUGGAGCAUGUGGUUUAAUUCGAUGCAACGCGAAGAACCUUACCAAGGCUUGACAUGGACGUGCCCGGUGCAGAAAUGUACCUUCUACCUUCGGGUAGCGCGUCACACAGGUGGUGCAUGGUUGUCGUCAGCUCGUGUCGUGAGAUGUUGGGUUAAGUCCCGCAACGAGCGCAACCCCUGUCUUUAGUAGCCAGCACGUAAUGGUGGGCACACUAAAGAGACUGCCGUGGAGAACACGGAGGAAGGUGGGGAUGAUGUCAAAUCAUCAUGCCCCUUAUGUCUUGGGCUACACACGUGCUACAAUGGCGCAUACAAAGUGAAGCGAAACGGCGACGUGGAGCUAACCCCGAAAGUGCGCCUCAGUUCGGAUUGCAGUCUGCAACUCGACUGCAUGAAGUUGGAAUCGCUAGUAAUCGCGAAUCAGCAUGUCGCGGUGAAUACGUUCCCGGGCCUUGUACACACCGCCCGU
rnacentral:rRNA from 1 species